rnacentral:lncRNA from 1 species
UACGGAAUGCACAACCAACCAACUAGGUCAAUAGAUACAGAAUGCAACAACAGACCAACUAGGUCAACAGAUACGCAUGUAGAUAGAACUACUCUACUCCUACUCAGGAUACUAAGCAUGCAAACAACGAGUAGAGUAUAACGAAUAAACAAGGGUGCAGGCUCAAUAUACUAUGCGAUAGUAACAACAGAAGAGUAAGGGUAAGAAACCGUCACCAAGCGUGCACCACUGUACCGACGUCGGAUCGAAGUACCCACCUGUACGGAUGUCGCGUCUGUCUCCUGACUGCAAAAGAAUGUCGACAGGACCUAUAGAGGGUCCACCGGGUUAGUAUCUAACCCACAACUAAUAAUCACAGUAUCCACCACCUCACAAACGAUUCCACAAAGAUCGGUUUCCCAAUACCGAUUACCGUAACUCGCCGGAAGUCCCGAAAACCACACCGGGACGCCGUCGGGACCCACCAAGUGUCCCGAACUCACCGACUCAUACCACGAGUCACCCGCUGCCCCAAAACAUUCCAAUUUGGAUGCCUUGGCAGCGAACGCAAGGUCACACAGCAAUACGAUCAUCGCCGGAUAAUCGUACGAAUCCGGGUUCCCGGAAGUGUCUAUUUCGACACCGGAACCCUCCGUCGCUCACCUAUCAUCAUCG